ACUUGCUUGUAGCAGAGAAAACAUCUGCUUUUGUUCGGGAAAAAAAAAAUUCAAAAUUUGUGAAAAAUAAAGAAAAAUCGUUUUUGGAAAAAAAUUUCGGUAAAAGUGAAUAAAAUUCAAAGUUAAAUAUAAAUUUUUCGUUGUUGGAAAUACUCGUAAAUUUCCUUUCAUAGUGCGCAUAAAUUCCAGGCUGCUGCUGCAUUUCGAUUGACAUUAGACACAACAGAUUGACAAACGAUAACGUGAAAUAGUUCCAAAUGGUAACGAAAUUUUCGAAAUUUGUCUGUCAUUAUGGAUGAACAACAAGUCCCCAACGCAACAUUAGUUUACAUUUUUAAUCAUCUUUAAUACUGACACCAGGCGUACACACUUUGUAUGAGUCUUUGCAAUGCAGCUUACAUUCAACAAGACAACGACUACCUAUACUUCAAUACUUCAAUACCAAAUUGCGGCGGUCAUUAUUGAUGCUUACACUUUAGAUUUAAUUGAAUGUGAAAUUAUUAUAUACUGGCGUGCAGCCCCUGCCCUCUAACAAAAAACUAAUGAACACAGUUCGGUGUGGUACCGGUGCCUCAUACACAGGACGAGCAGAUUGCACCCGCAACUUUUCUUUUAGGUGUGACAAUACAUCUAAUUUCAAAACAGGGAAUACUCUAAUACAAAUAUUCCACAUACACCGCAAGUGCCAUGAACAAUAAAUAAUAUAUUUUAUAA
rnacentral:sRNA from 1 species